rnacentral:rRNA from 1 species
AAGUCGUAACAAGGUUUCCGUAGGUGAACCUGCGGAAGGAUCAUUAUUGAAUUUUUGAAUGGGUUGUUGCUGAUCAUUUAUGAUAUGUGCACGCCCUUCAUUCCAAAUUUCACACCCUGUGCACUUUUUGUAGGCCGACUUGAAAAAUCGGUCUAUGUUUUUAAUACACCCAAAGAAGUUUAGAAUGUUUAUUUGUAGCUUGCUUGCAAGCUUAAAAUUUAUACAACUUUCAACAACGGAUCUCUUGGCUCUCGCAUCGAUGAAGAACGCAGCGAAAUGCGAUAAGUAAUGUGAAUUGCAGAAUUCAGUGAAUCAUCGAAUCUUUGAACGCACCUUGCGCUCCUUGGUAUUCCGAGGAGCAUGCCUGUUUGAGUGUCAUUAAAUUCUCAAUCUCCUCAUACUAUUUUGUUUGUGGGAGGCUUGGAUUUGGAGUGUUUGCUGNCUUUUUUUAAAAAUCAGCUCCUCUUAAAUAUAUCAGCGUGUACCCUUUGUGGAUAGGCUUUUGGUUUGAUAAUUAUCAUAUAUGCCAUUGCCGUGAAGCAAAUGUCAGCUCUCUAAUAGUCCUUCUAGGACAACUUGAUAUUUUGACCUCAAAUCAGGUAGGACUACCCGCUGAACUUAAGCAUAUCAAUAAGCGGAGGAAAAGAAACUAACCAGGAUUCCCCUAGUAACUGCGAGCGAAGCGGGAAAAGCUCAAAUUUAAAAUCUGGCGGUCUUAUGGCCGUCCGAGUUGUAAUCUAGAGAAGUGCUUUCCGCGUUGGACCGUGUACAAGUCUCUUGGAACAGAGCGUCAUAGAGGGUGAGAAUCCCGUCUUUGACACGGACUACCAAUGCUUUUGUGAUGUGCUCUCAAAGAGUCGAGUUGUUUGGGAAUGCAGCUCAAAAUGGGUGGUAAAUUCCAUCUAAAGCUAAAUAUUGGCGAGAGACCGAUAGCGAACAAGUACCGUGAGGGAAAGAUGAAAAGAACUUUGGAAAGAGAGUUAAACAGUACGUGAAAUUGUUGAAAGGGAAACGCUUGAAGUCAGUCGCGUUGGCCAGGAAUCAACCCUUCUUUUUUGUAGGGCGUACUUUCUGGUUUUACGGGUCAGCAUCAAUUUUGAUUGUUGGAUAAAAGCCAAUAUUUUUGCAUCUUCGGGUGUAUAGCCUUUGGUUACAUACAACAGUUGGGAUUGAGGAACUCAGCACGCCGCAAGGUCGGAUCAUUUUGAUCACGUACGUGCUUAGGAUGCUGGCAUAAUGGCUUUAAUCGACC